rnacentral:pre_miRNA from 1 species
UAAAAGUUAAUUUGUAUAGAGUUGGAACCUUCGCCUACGUUUGCCGCUAGAGGCGCUGUUCCAACUCUAUACCAAUUUGAGUUA